rnacentral:rRNA from 1 species
UACGAGGGGGGCGAGCGUUGUUCGGAAUUAUUGGGCGUAAAGGGUGCGUAGGCGGUUUGGUAAGUCUUAUGUGAAAUCUCUGGGCUCAACUCAUAGUCUGCAUGAGAAACUGCCGGGCUUGAGUAUGGGAGAGGUGAGUGGAAUUCCUGGUGUAGCGGUGAAAUGCGUAGAUAUCAGGAGGAACACCUGUGGCGAAAGCGGCUCACUGGACCAUAACUGACGCUGAUGCACGAAAGCUAGGGGAGCAAACAGG